rnacentral:rRNA from 1 species
CCUACGGGAGGCAGCAGUGAGGAAUAUUGGUCAAUGGACGAGAGUCUGAACCAGCCAAGUAGCGUGAAGGAUGACUGCCCUAUGAGUUGUAAACUGCUUUUAUAUGGGAAUAAAAUGUUCCACGUGUGGGUUUUUGUAUGUACCAUAUGAAUAAGGAUCGGCUAACUCCGUGCCAGCAGCCGCGGUAAUACGGAGGAUCCGAGCGUUAUCCGGAUUUAUUGGGUUUAAAGGGAGCGUAGGUGGUUGGUUAAGUCAGUUGUGAAAGUUUGCGGCUCAACCGUAGAAUUGCAGUUGAAACUGGCAGUCUUGAGUGUAGUAGAGGUAGGCGGAAUUCGUGGUGUAGCGGUGAAAUGCUUAGAGAUCACGAAGAACUCCGAUUGCGAAGGCAGCUUACUGGACUGCAACUGACGUUGAGGCUCGAAAGUGUGGGUAUCAAACAGGAUUAGAUACCCGGGUAGUC